GACGAACGCUGGCGGCGUGCUUAACACAUGCAAGUCGAACGGAAAGGCCCUGCUUUUGUGGGGUGCUCGAGUGGCGAACGGGUGAGUAACACGUGAGUAACCUGCCCUUGACUUUGGGAUAACUUCAGGAAACUGGGGCUAAUACCGGAUAGGAGCUCCUGCUGCAUGGUGGGGGUUGGAAAGUUUCGGCGGUUGGGGAUGGACUCGCGGCUUAUCAGCUUGUUGGUGGGGUAGUGGCUUACCAAGGCUUUGACGGGUAGCCGGCCUGAGAGGGUGACCGGCCACAUUGGGACUGAGAUACGGCCCAGACUCCUACGGGGGACAGCAGGGGGAAAUAUUGCACAAUGGGCGGAAGCCUGAUGCAGCAACGCCGCGUGCGGGAUGACGUCCUUCGGGGUAUAAACCGCUUUCGCCUGUGACGAAGCGUGAGUGACGGUAAUGGGUAAAGAAGCACCGGCUAACUACGUG
rnacentral:rRNA from 1 species